rnacentral:misc_RNA from 1 species
GCGCGUAUCCGUGUCGAGAGAGGCGGCGCCGGCGAGAUGGCAGGCGGAGAUAAUGGUGGAGUGGUGUCGGAGGCGGCGGCGGAGACGCCGGCGUGCAUCUCGUCGGUGAUACCUGGGUGGUUCUCGGAGAUCAGCCCCAUGUGGCCCGGAGAGGCACAUUCCUUAAAAGUGGAAAAGAUAUUGUUUCAAGGAAAGUCUAAAUACCAAGACGUGUUGGUAUUCCAGUCAUCUACCUAUGGGAAAGUUCUCGUUUUGGAUGGAGUGAUUCAAGUUACGGACAGGGAUGAGUGUGCAUAUCAAGAAAUGAUCACUCACCUUCCACUCUGUUCUAUCCAAAAUCCUAAGAAGGUAUUGGUCAUUGGAGGAGGUGAUGGUGGUGUUCUCCGUGAAGUUGCACGCUACUCUUCUGUGGAGCAUAUUGAUAUAUGUGAAAUAGAUGGGAUGGUCGUAGAGGUUUCUAAGCAAUUCUUUCCUAAUUUGGCCGUGGGGUACCAGGAUCCUCGUGUGACUCUACAUGUUGGUGAUGGUGUUGCCUUCCUCAAGAAUGUUGAAGAAGGUACUUACGAUGCUGUCAUUGUUGACUCCUCUGACCCGAUAGGUCCAGCUAAAGAACUGUUUGAGAAGCCUUUCUUUGCAUCCGUGGCAAGAGCUCUUCGCCCUGGCGGAGUCGUCUGCACCCAGGCAGAGAGCAUAUGGUUGCAUAUGCAUAUAAUUGAAGAUAUCGUCUCAGUAUGCCGUGAGAUUUUCGAAGGCUCUGUUAACUAUGCAUGGACAACUGUACCCACAUAUCCAAGUGGGGUGAUGGGUUUCAUGCUUUGCUCCACUAAGGGGCCGGAGGUGGAUUUUCAGCACCCUGUUUAUCAGAUAGAGGAGGAUAAGGAAUCCAACAAAUCAGGGCCUUUGAAAUUUUACAACUCAGAGAUUCACUCUGCUGCAUUUUGUUUGCCAUCUUUUGCGAAGAGGGUUAUUGAUUCGAAAAUCCAGCAAGCUUCUUGAACCAAUGCUUCUCGACUAAGGCAAGACUUAGCGCCUAUAUUUAGGUGCCUUUGUGGCGACCCCGGGGGUACAUAUGAACCGAAUUUAUUUAUGAAUGUUUUUUUUUCUAGAGUUAUCGCUGAAUAAUUCAUUCUGAUAAUAGGAAUAUUCCUAUUAUGUGGUACAACCAUUACAUUUUAUUGCCUAUUUGAAACUACCAGAGAGUAAGAGAGUAGUAUGUGUUCUGGAUGAUAUUAUUUUGUUUUUGGUAUUU